UCAAAAUCUUGGCCUCUGGAACUGCCCGCCUUUGUUCCCUCUUCUCCCUGAGGCUUCUUGGCACUGCCGGCAGCCAUGUUGCCCCGCUCUGGCUUUGUGAGAGGCAAGUCCCAGAGAGCCCUGGGGACAGCCUGUGCUCCUAGCCCGCCUACCUGCCCACCCCAGGCUACAGCCCGGUGAACGGAACUGUGAUGCAUGAAAUGAGGGGGGAAAGACCGGUGAGGUCAUGCUGGCCUUGUUAACUGUUGGCAAAAAAGCAGGCAACAGAAAGGGGAAUGUCAGGUCAUUAACUGGAACUCCAUCUCUGCAAACUUCUCCUUUCUUCACCCGUGGGCAGCUGUCUGCAUACUGCAGUCUUCCUCAGAAGCCGAGCCCUUUCUCUGAUGAACGUCUGUGAUUGGACUCAAUCAUAAACCGUCCCCACACUCUUUUCUACUGUUUACUCCCUGUAAAAUAUAGCAGUGAAAUAAUAAUCUUCUGAUUGUGCAGGUAGAUGUCAGCUGAGCUGGCUUAUUGCACUUAAUGGAUUUAAACAGAACUUUGGCAAACUUUAUAAUUACAUUGACUUGCUUGCUCUCUGCUUCCUUUUAUUGCUAAGGGCACUGAUGUUACUCACUUGUCAUCGCUGAACCAGCCUAGAAAAUGAUUCUGGAUACUUGGUUAUGGUUAUUUUACACCUUAGUCAGACAGACUAUGUUCAUAUAGGGAAUCUAAUUCUUUUCAGCUAUCAGCUUUCAGGUGGGGCACAAUUUAUCA
rnacentral:lncRNA from 1 species